AGUUCACCUUAAGAGCUCCUAUAUUUCGACUAUUAAAAAAUAAAUCAUUUGGACUGUAGAGAAUCUCACCUGAGUGCUAUCCCAACUGUCAGUCUGCCACUUCCUUCAUUCGUACUUUUAGCCCCCAAAAUACCCAACUCAAUUUUCAAUCUAAUACGACAAAAUUGUAAAAAAAAAGAAAAAAAAGAAGAGGAGAGGCGAGCUAAAGGGUCCUGGAAUGGAAGCGAACCAAUCCAAAAGUAAUUUAGCCAACACCAAAUCUGUGGCAUAUUACACGGGACACAGGCGAAAGCUGCCAAGAGAAAUCUGAUCCACUUAGUUGCCAAGAGAAAGCAAUAAAUUCUUAUGAAAACAGUUGAGGAGCGGCGACACGUCCCUGUACAAAAUGAAUUGAACUUUGGGUCAACGUGGAAAUUGCACUAAUAUCUGGCCCAACAACCAACCCACUGAACAGAUGAGCCUCAAGUUCUGGCCUUGGGAGGAAACCAGUUCCCAUGCCUUUUCAAUAUUUAUGAGUGGGACGCAAGGAAACUUUGAGGGGGGAAAAGUGGUGAAGCCCAAAAUCAAAUAAGCUCGUCCUAUAGGCUCUGAAUGAAAACAAAGUGCAAAGAAGUCGGCCUUUUUAUGUGUGAAGUCCCGCAAGGACACUUAGACCACACAGAGCUCAUAAAUUUCGGGUCAAAUUCUAGCUGGUUGCUGGAAAGCUUUAAGACAGCAAGUGCAAUGGAAAAAACUAAAAGACAGGUUAAGGCUAGUCGGACAUACACACGGGAAAAAGACAAAGCUAAACGAUUAUUCUUCAUAUAAGUAAUGCGAAUGUGUUUCGGCAUGAGUUUUGAACACCUUGUAAAUUAAAAAAAAAAUACGAAAUUUAGAUAAAUAUCGAAACUGAAAGAGGAUUUACUAAGCUGCAAAAUAAGAAUAGAAACUCUAAUGUUUUACAGCUCUAAGAAGCUCAAUAUAUUUUCAGAUUUAUUUAU
ensembl:ncRNA lncRNA:CR44048 long non-coding RNA:CR44048